GUGGCAUAAUGAAGGCCUGCGCUGCAAACAGCUUGCUGUAGGUGCUGGCUGGAUGUCUCUGCCAC
rfam:Scleropages formosus scaffold4384, whole genome shotgun sequence.